rnacentral:rRNA from 1 species
GGGGAAUAUUGCACAAUGGGCGAAAGCCUGAUGCAGCAACGCCGCGUGAGUGAUGAAGGUCUUCGGAUUGUAAAGCUCUGUCUUUUGGGACGAUAAUGACGGUACCAAAGGAGGAAGCCACGGCUAACUACGUGCCAGCAGCCGCGGUAAUACGUAGGUGGCGAGCGUUGUCCGGAUUUACUGGGCGUAAAGGGUGCGUAGGCGGAUGUUUAAGUGAGAUGUGAAAUACCCGGGCUUAACUUGGGUGCCGCAUUUCAAACUGGAUAUCUAGAGUGCAGGAGAGGAGAAUGGAAUUCCUAGUNUAGCGGUGAAAUGCGUAGAGAUUAGGAAGAACACCAGUGGCGAAGGCGAUUCUCUGGACUGUAACUGACGCUGAGGCACGAAAGCGUGGGUAGCAAACAGGAUUAGA